rnacentral:lncRNA from 1 species
CUUGCCAGUUUACGGUGAUGUCAUUCUGUAUAGCUGCGAUGGAUAGGGCUGUGUUAUUUUUCUCUUUUACUAAGUCCUUCUUAUGCUCACCGAGCCUCUGUUUUAGCCCUCUAAUAGUAACUCCUAUAUAUACUUCUUCUUCAUGCGUAAUGUUAUUUUCUAUUGGUAUUUUAUACACACCCGACUUAUUACUGGGUUGGAUUUUAUUUUUAUCAUUACGAACUUUACUGUAAACUGUUGGGAAUCUUUUAUAUGUGAUCUUUUUAUUCAUCUUUUGUGCUAUCUUCUUAACAAGGUUAGAG